AGUUUAAGGUGACACGUGGAGAGCGCGGCGGACGUCCUUACCUCCAGAGGAAGUGGGGAUUUUGAUAGUUCGGGCUGACCUACGCGGGUAGAAUAUGGUGAUGGGUGCUGUGCAAGAAGAAGGAGGGAAGAAGGAAGCUGAGUGUGCAGCAAAGACACCUGCAGGGACACAUAGAACCAGGCAUUUGCUGAAGGACACCUGGAUUGCACAACCAGCGGCUAACUUGCAUGAAAAAACAUUCUAGGUGGUUUUGCUUAAUGUUGGUCUCUCCAACUGUGCUACAAGCUCCAUGAGGUGAAGGACCAAGUUAAUUGUGUCUUCCAUGCUAGUAAUUUCUGAAGCACUUCAGGUAAUUGCUGCCCUCAGAUUGCCCACAAUCAAGUCAUGGAGGUGAAAUUACAUUUGAUGAAAUGACGGCAACAAAAUUCAGCUACAGAAAACCUUUCGGGAAAGAGUAUUUUGGGACACUGCCAUUU
rnacentral:lncRNA from 10 species